GGACAGGUGACUGAGUGGCCGAAAGUACUCGAUUGCUAAUUGAGCGAGCGUUAAUCGCGCUCCGUGGGUUCGACUCCCACCCUGUCCGCCA
rnacentral:tRNA from 1 species